rnacentral:rRNA from 1 species
AACGAACGCUGGCGGCAUGCCUAACACAUGCAAGUCGAACGAGACCUUCGGGUCUAGUGGCGCACGGGUGCGUAACGCGUGGGAAUCUGCCCUUGGGUUCGGAAUAACAGUUAGAAAUGACUGCUAAUACCGGAUGAUGACGUAAGUCCAAAGAUUUAUCGCCCAAGGAUGAGCCCGCGUGGGAUUAGCUUGUUGGUGAGGUAAAAGCUCACCAAGGCGACGAUCCUUAGCUGGUCUGAGAGGAUGAUCAGCCACACUGGGACUGAGACACGGCCCAGACUCCUACGGGAGGCAGCAGUGGGGAAUAUUGGACAAUGGGCGAAAGCCUGAUCCAGCAAUGCCGCGUGAGUGAUGAAGGCCUUAGGGUUGUAAAGCUCUUUUACCCGGGAUGAUAAUGACAGUACCGGGAGAAUAAGCCCCAGCUAACUCCGUGCCAGCCGCCGCCGUAAAAC